UAAGUAAGAAACAAAAAAUUGUAUUUAGUUUCGACCUAAAAGUUUGGUGAUAAACACCCUUAUUUAA
rnacentral:tRNA from 1 species